ACACGGACCAAGGAGUUCAACAUGCGAGCUAGUUGUUGGGACUUGAAGCCCGCUAGCAAAGUGAAAGCAAGACAUAGUGUAACGCUGUGUAUUGGCGUGAUCCCGUUACUUGGUCUGAAAAGUCCGAGCCGGGCGCAUCGCCGGCCCGUCAUAAGCUCACGUGGCUGUGGCGGAGCCUGAGCUCGCACGUUGAGACCCGAAAGAUGGUGAACUAUGCCUGGGCAGGAUGAAGCCAGGGGAAACUCUGGUGGAGGUCCGUAGCGAUUCUGACGUGCAAAUCGAUCGUCUGACCUGGGUAUAGGGGCGAAAGACUAAUCGAACCAUCUAGUAGCUGGUUCCCUCCGAAGUUUCCCUCAGGAUAGCUGGCACUCGGAGAACGUAGUCUCUCCCGGUAAAGCGAAUGAUUAGAGGCCUUGGGGUCGAAACGACCUUAACCUAUUCUCAAACUUUAAAUGGGUGAGAAGUCUGGCUUGCUUAAAUGCGAAGCUGAAGUCUGGACGUUGGAUACGAGCGCCUAGUGGGCCACUUUUGGU
rnacentral:rRNA from 1 species